rnacentral:rRNA from 1 species
UGCGUAGGUGGUCUGGUUAGUCGGAUGUGAAAUCCCGGGGCUCAACCCCGGAACUGCAUCCGAAACUGCCAGACUAGAGUCCAGGAGGGGAGAGCGGAAUUCAGAGUGUAGCGGUGAAAUGCGUUGAUAUUCUGAAGAACACCGGCGGCGAAGGCGGCUCUCUGGAAUGGAACUGACACUGAGGCACGAAAGCGUGGGUAGCAAACAGGAUUAGAUACCCUGGUAGUCC